GGCUACGAAAACUACUGCUGCUGAGUGACAGAGUAUGUAAUUCUGGAGCUCCUUAAGGAAAAAAGUAGUGUGAUGCAACAUCAGAACAGUGGCCAGCAGGCACAGCAGCCAUGAACUUCAAUCUUGAACCAAAGAAGACUCAUCAAAUGCCUUAGGAAAGACAGUAUGAAGUUGGAAGAGAAGCAGGAAUCUCCAUGAAGGGCAGUCAGUUAUAGUUGGGGUGUGUGGAGGAACUGGUCCUGUUCUCGCUGUUGUUACUCCCACAUAGGCAGACUCUGUAAUUGAUUAUGUGUGGGUAGGGCCCUAUUGAAAUUCAGGAGAUUCUGCAGUAGUGCGGGGUUCUUUUUGUGAAAGUUCAGUUGCAAGAUCAGGACCCUACUGUGCCUCCUUACUGUGCAUUCUAUCACUGUCUCAUUGAUUGUACUGGAACCUGCCUGUUGGGAUAA